rnacentral:lncRNA from 1 species
UGCUGGAUUCAUGUCCUCAGAUCGUGGUCAUGUCCUCCUUCCACCCUCCUACCUCGUUCAAAACAGAUAUGCGCCACACACCAGCGGUUCCUGUUCCAGAAGAUAUUUUGAAUGCUAAGAUUAGCGAUGCUCAAAACCAGUUCUUGUCCUGUCUAGUGUGCUAGUAUCUAUUCAGUAACCAGAAGAAUUAUAGUGUUACUGAACCGUAGUUGCCUUCUUGUUCUCUAUGUCACCGUGCGAUAUGCUGUAUUGUGCCUAUGGAUACUGUACUAUAGGAUGCUUACAAUUUCAUGUGGCUUUGAGAUGUGGCACAUGACCCCUUUGUUUUUCCUUAUUGAAAGACUAGAAAACAUAGUGUCUCAUCGCGAAGAAACUGAAAACACGUGGUAGAAAAAGGAAAAGACCGAGGAACAAAGUCAUGGAAACGAGAAAGGACACACAUAUGACACGUAUAUGCUUAUCUACUCCAGAUGUUUAAGGAUCUUGAUGCUCUUCUAGGCUGGACAAGAUGCGCUACGGAGGACGGAGGUCGGGGCUUGGAUACAUGCAAUCGUGCGUCCGGGUCCUACGUGAUAUAUUGCCAUGCAUGUUGCAUGCAUCGG